rnacentral:rRNA from 1 species
UACGGAGGGAGCUAGCGUUGUUCGGAAUUACUGGGCGUAAAGCGCGCGUAGGCGGCUUUGUAAGUUAGAGGUGAAAGCCCGGGGCUCAACCCCGGAAUUGCCUUUAAGACUGCAUCGCUUGAAUCCGGGAGAGGUGAGUGGAAUUCCGAGUGUAGAGGUGAAAUUCGUAGAUAUUCGCAAGAACACCAGUGGCGAAGGCGGCUACGACGUGGCCCGG